rnacentral:rRNA from 1 species
UGGGGAAUAUUGGACAAUGGGGGGAACCCUGAUCCAGCCAUGCCGCGUGUGUGAAGAAGGCCUUAUGGUUGUAAAGCACUUUAAGCGAGGAGGAGGGUACUGGUAUUAAUACUACCAGGUACUGGACGUUACUCGCAGAAUAAGCACCGGCUAACUCUGUGCCAGCAGCCGCGGUAAUACAGAGGGUGCGAGCGUUAAUCGGAUUUACUGGGCGUAAAGCGUGCGUAGGCGGCUAAUUGAGUCGGAUGUGAAAUCCCCGAGCUUAACUUGGGAAUUGCAUUCGAUACUGGUUAGCUAGAGUGUGGGAGAGGAUGGUAGAAUUCCAGGUGUAGCGGUGAAAUGCGUAGAGAUCUGGAGGAAUACCGAUGGCGAAGGCAGCCAUCUGGCCUAACACUGACGCUGAGGUACGAAAGCAUGGAGCAAACAGG